CCCCUUUGGGGGUACUCGAGUGGCGAACGGGUGAGUAACACGUGAGUAACCUGCCCUUGACUUCGGGAUAACUUCAGGAAACUAGGGCUAAUACCGGAUAGGAAUCCUUGCUGCAUGGUGGGGGUUGGAAAGCUUCGGCGGUUUUGGAUGGACUCGCGGCUUAUCAGCUUGUUGGUGGGGUAGUGGCUUACCAAGGCUUUGACGGGUAGCCGGCCUGAGAGGGCGACCGGCCACAUUGGGACUGAGAUACGGCCCAG
rnacentral:rRNA from 1 species